GUCUGUUCUGUGGAUUUUCCUUUGAACUAGCAUUCGCUUACCAGUUCUCUCAAUUAAUGAGCUAAAUACAAUCUUUGACAUGUGUUUAUUUUAUAUUUGUAUGAGAGUCAUGAUUUUAUCUUUUUGGAAAUUUGCUCUUUAACAAAUUUGGAAAUAUACCUUAUGCUUGAAUGUGACCUAUUUUAUCAAAGUGUAUCUUUGGUGAAGUCAUUUUAGAGCUCGGUACUUGGUGUUUUUGAGUUGGUUUGCUCAUCUGUGAUGACUGAGUGAACUAAUACCUGGCAAGUAUAAAGGCAUGUUGGUAAAGGAGACGUAGAAGAAAUAGAUUAGAAGGCCAGGAUGAGUAAAAAUGUGGGAGGAUACUGGAUGUUAAACUCGAAAAAACUGGGAGGAGAUGUUGCCUUUGAAGAGGAUCUGAGAUCUGAUACCACAAAUGCCUUAAUGUGGCUGGCAUUCAUGAGAAGGUAUGCAACUAUUGAGGAAAUACGAAGAACUCAGAAUGUCAAGAGAGAAGAGGCACAACUGUUGGUAUGCCCAUUAUGUCCGGUGGAAACUUUCACUCUCAGAUGUGGAGGCCAUCCAUCUUCAUGACCACACAGUUCUGAGUGGACCUCCUUGAUGGUGCCUGAGUGGAUCCUUGGAAAUCAGCUAUAUCCUAAUAGCUGACCACAAGGCAGCAGUCUGCCUAGGAGGCAUUGGACCAGCGUUAUAAGUAGUGUGCCACACAGUGUCCAGCCAUGAACAGAAUAGCAAUGCUCCAUCUUUGCUAGAGGACCACUUGGAGAGAAGCGUAUUAUCCUUAGCAAUUAAGUACAGACACAAAGAGCCGGUCCCCAGUGGGCUCCAGGACAAGUUGGAAAAGCCUUUGCUGCAGACAGAACCAGCCGCAUUUGAAAACCUGUCUUGCUAAAUCGAGUGCACUUUGGACCUUCCUUUUAACUUCAGAGUUACCUCUCUAGAUGCUGGUCAGUCCGACAAGGUUUAUUUAGUGACUCGAGGCUGCGAAGAUGAAUAUCCUCACGCUGAGUUAUUUACAUAAAGCUAAGUAGCAAAGCCUGUGAUGUUAUAAUCAGGUACCUAUCUACAGGACAGUUUUGAAUGACACAGGGUAUGAAAAAUGUUUACUCUAGUUUACACUAUUUUUGAAUAUUGAUUAGUCUCUAUGGUGAAAACAUUAAUACUUUUUAAUGACCUAUAUGAUAAAACAUGUAUUUGAUUGGCUUCUUAUGGCGUUACUCUUACAAAAAGCUGGGAUGUCGUCAUGUGCAUUCUCUGCCUUUGAGCCUCUGAUGAUUCCAGUCAUCUCAGAAAGAUAGGGCUCUGCCCUCUUGCUUCUGAUUUGCUGGCAAUAGACCUUCAGCUAAUAGUAUAUCUGCUCAGCUGAAGAUGGAGUGCUAAUCUAGGGGAACUCGAAAUGGCUCUGUCAUUUUCUAGAUGACAGCUCCUAUUUUCCACUGGCUUCUGGCACAUGCACUAUCAUCCAUCUAUGUCAAGAAGACACUUGCUUAUCUGGUUGCUAGAAAUGCUUUUGCUAAAAACAUGUAACUGCAGUUCAUCAGUCUUGUGAGGAAGUUGUUGAUUUUGCUAAACUAAGUUUAAACUCCUCUGUGGUUUUCUGAUAUGACAUCUAUUUUUAUUAGAUAUUGUCAUGAUUAUUUAUAGUGUCUUAGAAGCAUACUAGAAUUUUUUUUUUUUUUUUUUUUAAUAGCAAGUUAAUCAGCUGAUUGAAUGGUGCAAAACAAAAGUUUCAGGACCAGGUAUGCCCAUAUCAAAUUUCAUUCUUCAUUUUUAGGCAACCCUUAAUUAAGAAAUUACUGGCUAAAGAAGAGAUAGAAAUUGAAUUAGGACCAUAAAAAAUCAAAAUUCAAUGCAAAUAAUGUAUGCCUCACAACAAACGAUGGCAAGUAUUUAAAAAAAUAAAACCAAUCAUCUGGUUAUAACUUAUGAAAUA
ensembl:lncRNA